ACCGAAAAAAAACCCACAACAAAAGAAAAAAAGAAAUGAAUAAGAUUGAAAAGAGAGAGAAAGAAAUAAGCUUGUGUGGUUUCAGAUGUAGUAGGUUACCUUGCACAUUUGUUUGUUUCGCUCACUACUGUACUUAUUAUUUGUUGGUGGUGUCAUGGUGAUUGGUGAUGAGAGAGAACAUCUACAUGCUCAUUAGAAUUCGUACCAAAUCGAUUAUUGUUUUUUUUUUGUCAUAUACAAUUGUAUGAAAAAUAGUCGGGGGAAUGAAGAAAAGAAAGGAACACA
rnacentral:ribozyme from 13 species